ACAGGAUUAGAUACCCUGGUAGUCCACGCCCUAAACGAUGCGAACUGGAUGUUGCUCUCAACUCGGAGAUCAGUGUCGAAGCUAACGCGUUAAGUUCGCCGCCUGGGGAGUACGGUCGCAAGACUGAAACUCAAAGGAAUUGACGGGGGCCCGCACAAGCGGUGGAGUAUGUGGUUUAAUUCGAUGCAACGCGAAGAACCUUACCUGGCCUUGACAUGUCUGGAAUCCUGCAGAGAUGCGGGAGUGCCUUCGGGAAUCAGAACACAGGUGCUGCAUGGCUGUCGUCAGCUCGUGUCGUGAGAUGUUGGGUUAAGUCCCGCAACGAGCGCAACCCUUGUCCUUAGUUGCCAGCACGUAAUGGUGGGAACUCUAAGGAGACUGCCGGUGACAAACCGGAGGAAGGUGGGGAUGACGUCAAGUCCUCAUGGCCCUUACGGCCAGGGCUACACACGUACUACAAUGGUCGGUACAGAGGGUUGCAAUACCGCGAGGUGGAGCCAAUCCCAGAAAGCCGAUCCCAGUCCGGAUCGGAGUCUGCAACUCGACUCCGUGAAGUCGGAAUCGCUAGUAAUCGCGGAUCAGCUAUGCCGCGGUGAAUACGUUCCCGGGCCUUGUACACACCGCCCGUCACACCAUGGGA
rnacentral:rRNA from 1 species